rnacentral:rRNA from 1 species
UACAGAGGUCUCAAGCGUUGUUCGGAUUCAUUGGGCGUAAAGGGUGCGUAGGCGGCGCGGUAAGUCGGGUGUGAAAUCUCGGAGCUUAACUCCGAAACUGCAUUCGAUACUGCCGUGCUUGAGGACUGGAGAGGAGACUGGAAUUUACGGUGUAGCGGUGAAAUGCGUAGAUAUCGAUAAGGAAGACCAGUGGCGAAGGCGGGUCUGCGUGGA